CUACGGGGGGCAGCAGUGGGGAAUAUUGCGCAAUGGGGGAAACCCUGACGCAGCAACGCCGUGUGAGGGAUGAAGGCUUUCGGGUCAUAAACCUCUGUCAGGCAGGACGAAACAUCUAAACAUGAAUAAUGUUUAGAUCUGACGGUACUGCCAGAGGAAGUCCCGGCUAACUCCGUGCCAGCAGCCGCGGUAAUACGGAGGGGACAAACGUUGUUCGGAAUUAUUGGGCGUAAAGAGCGCGUAGGUGGUCAGAAAAGUCAGACGUGAAAUCCCUCUGCUCAACAGAGGAAGGGCGUUUGGAACUCUCUGGCUUGAGUGUGGGAGAGGAGAGUGGAAUUCCCAGUGUAGCGGUGAAAUGCGUAGAUAUUGGGAAGAACACCAGUGGCGUAGGCGGCUCUCUGGCCCAUUACUGACACUGAGGCGCGAAAGCUAGGGGAGCAAACGGGAUUAGAUACCCUAGUAGUC
rnacentral:rRNA from 1 species